AUGUAUAGCAAUAGCUACUUGCAUCAUUGUAAAUAUGAUGCAAGAUCGACUAUGUCGAAUAAAAUUCUAGGUAGAAUUAUGAUAAUGACAUUGUCUGCCUAUGUGUCUUGACCAAAUUACGUGCCAGCAGUCGCGGUAAUACGUAGAAGACUAGUGUUAUUCAUGUUUAAUCGGUUUAAAGGGUACCUAGACGGUAAAUCAAGCCUAAAAGGAAAGAAAUGAAGGGACUAAUUUACUAGAGUUACUUAUGAGGGGGUAUUAAAGUACUGCUGGUGUAGAGAUGAAAUUCUGUCAUACCUCUUUUCAAUAGAAAAAUAAUGGCACAGGUAUAGGCGAAAGCAUCCCCUUAUGUGAUAACUGACGUUGAGGGACGAAGGCUUUGUGUAGCGAACAGGAUUAGAUACCCCAGUAGUCAAAGCAGAAAAUGAUGAAUGUCAUAGAUUAGAUAUAUAAGUUUAUUCUAUAAAUGAAAGUGUAAGCAUUCCACCUCAAGAGUAAUUUGGCAACAUUGGAACUGAAAUCAUUAGACCGUUUCUGAAACCAGUAGUGAAGUAUGUUGUUUAAUUUGAUGAUCCGCAAAAAACCUUACCACAAUUUGAAUAUUUAUAUCUUAUAUUGUUUUUUUUUUAACUUUAUUCUAAUUUUCUACUUAAAAGAAAACAAUAACAAGAAAAAAGAGACAAGAAGAUAUAUUUACAAGCGUUGCACGGCUGUCUUCAGUUAAUGUCGCGAGACUAUGGUUAGUUCCAUUAAAUUAACGUAAACCCUUACUUUAUUUUUAUAUAGAGUAGUUCCCCGCUAUAUUGGAUAUGAUAACAGGGACUA
rnacentral:rRNA from 1 species